CAUGAGCUUUCGCAGUGGUUUGAGUGUUGGACUAUGACUCUGGAGACCAGGGUUCAACUCCCUGCUGUGUGA